rnacentral:rRNA from 1 species
CACGUAGGGUGCGAGCGUUGUCCGGAAUUAUUGGGCGUAAAGAGCUCGUAGGCGGUGUGUCGCGUCGGCCGUGAAAACCUGCAGCUUAACUCUGGGCGUGCGGUCGAUACGGGCAUCACUAGAGUUCGGCAGGGGAGACUGGAAUUCCUGGUGUAGCGGUGGAAUGCGCAGAUAUCAGGAGGAACAUCGAUAGCGAAGGCAGCUCGCUGGGACGGUACUGACGCUAAGGCGCGAAAAGCGUGGGGAGCAAACAGG